GAGGAUAUAGCUCAGUGGUAGAAUGAAUGCUUAGCAUGUACAAGGCCCUGGGUUCAAUCCCCAGUACCUCCA
rfam:Camelus ferus unplaced genomic scaffold scaffold2072, whole genome shotgun sequence.